rnacentral:lncRNA from 1 species
AUGCGGCCAUUUUCUGGGGAAAGUGAAGGCCAGAGCCCAUCGCCUCCUCCUCUCCUCCCGUCUGCAACAUAUCCCCUCCGGUAAACCCGCUUGCACGCACGCCCCAACAAAACCCGAUCCCGGACUUCCUUCGAAACCCGCUCGCAGCUUUUCGGCGAAUUGGCAUUUCUUUAUCUUCAGGAUUUAGUUUCACCAACAUUUCACUGCAGGUCAAUUCUGAAACUUCUUCUUCAUUUGGUGUUUGUUGCUGGAAUUUCAAUACCCAUUUGCUUGUUUUGAUUUUUUCCAGCCGCCCGUUUGGUUUUCGAUUGGUAGACUUGAAAAGUUUGGAUUUUUAAUUUGGUUUGGUGAGUUUAGAUGAUGGGUUUUCUGUAAUUGUUUUGGGAUUAAUACCAAUUUGCUUGUUUUAAUGUGUUCAUGCUACCCAUUUAGUUAUCAAUUGGUGAAGUUAGAGAAGUUUGAAUUUUAAUUUUAGUUUUGGUUAGAAAUUGGGGUUUGUGUAAUUUUUGAUGGGUUGUUUUGAUGUUUUUCAGCUACCCAUUUAUUUAUCAAUCCUCCUACGCUGCUUCGCCGAUGAGAGAUAGAAAGAGAGAGUGGAAAGAAGCUUCAAGGACGGUGAGAAUUGUCGUCGGCUUCGACUCAAUACUUCCAGUGUUGAGUUUUGUUGUGUUUAUUAUUUUAAUUUUCUUUAAUGAAUUAGAAAAGUUAACACUGUUAACUUUGAGUUAAGGCAUAGGACACGUGUUCAAAAAUUAAAAAGGAGACAUGAACGAGAUACAAAUUAGGGGACAGCAGAUCCCUGGCCACUCAGGACUCCAUU